rnacentral:rRNA from 1 species
UACGGAGGGGGCUAGCGUUGUUCGGAAUUACUGGGCGUAAAGCGUACGUAGGCGGCUUUGUAAGUUAGAGGUGAAAGCCUGGUGCUCAACACCAGAACUGCCUUUAAGACUGCAUCGCUUGAACGUCGGAGAGGUGAGUGGAAUUCCGAGUGUAGAGGUGAAAAUUCGUAGAUAUUCGGAAGAACACCAGUGGCGAAAGGCGGCUCACUGGACGGACUGUUGACGCUGAGGUAC